rnacentral:snRNA from 1 species
CUACAAGAACCCAUGUCUU